GAUGAACGCUGGCGGCGUGCCUAAUACAUGCAAGUCGAGCGAACAGACGAGGAGCUUGCUCCUCUGACGUUAGCGGCGGACGGGUGAGUAACACGUGGAUAACCUACCUAUAAGACUGGGAUAACUUCGGGAAACCGGAGCUAAUACCGGAUAAUAUAUUGAACCGCAUGGUUCAAUAGUGAAAGACGGUUUUGCUGUCACUUAUAGAUGGAUCCGCGCCGCAUUAGCUAGUUGGUAAGGUAACGGCUUACCAAGGCAACGAUGCGUAGCCGACCUGAGAGGGUGAUCGGCCACACUGGAACUGAGACACGGUCCAGACUCCUACGGGAGGCAGCAGUAGGGAAUCUUCCGCAAUGGGCGAAAGCCUGACGGAGCAACACCGCGGGAGUGAUGAAGGUCUUCGGAUCGUAAAACUCUGUUAUUAGGGAAGAACAAAUGUGUAAGUAACUAUGCACGUCUUGACGGUACCUAAUCAGAAAGCCACGGCUAACUACGUG
rnacentral:rRNA from 1 species